rnacentral:rRNA from 1 species
GGCCUGCGCGGCUACACAUGCAGUCGAGCGGACCAGGCGGACCUUGGUCUGCUUUGGUCAGCGGCGGACGGGUGAGUAACACGUGGGCAACCUGCCCGCAGAACCGGGAUAACUCCGGGAAACCGGAGCUAAUACCGGAUAACACCGAAGACCGCAUGGUCUUUGGUUGAAAGGGGGCCUUUGGCUGUCACUUGCGGAUGGGCCCACGGCGCAUUAGCUAGUUGGUGAGGUAACGGCUCACCAAGGCGACGAUGCGUAGCCGGCCUGAGAGGGUGACCGGCCACACUGGGACUGAGACACGGCCCAGACUCCUACGGGAGGCAGCAAUAGGGAAUCUUCCGCAAUGGGCGAAAGCCUGACGGAGCGACGCCGCGUGAGCGAAGAAGGCCUUCGGGUCGUAAAGCUCUGUUGUGAGGGACGAAGGAGCGCCGUUCGAAGAGGGCGGCGCGGUGACGGUACCUCACGAGGAAGCCCCGGCUAACUACGUGCCAGCAGCCGCGGUAAUACGUAGGGGGCGAGCGUUGUCCGGAAUUAUUGGGCGUAAAGCGCGCGCAGGCGGU